rnacentral:rRNA from 1 species
GGGCAGGAGCAGCAGGUCGGCCUAACGGUCAGUACUUGCUGCCCCGUUCCGCACCUACGGGACACUCACCUCUGCUCUUAACUGGGUGGAGGUAAAACCCACGACGAUGGAGCGAUCCACCGCCGUGGGCGAGUUCCCGUUCGUUUACUUUGAAUAAAUUAGGGUGUUCAAAGCAGGCAUAAAUAGCCUUGAAUACAUUAGCAUGGGAUAAUAGAAUAGGACUUUGGCGUCGUUUUAUUUUGUUGGUUUCUGAAGCCAAGGUA